rnacentral:misc_RNA from 1 species
UCCAACUUAUCGCUGGCGGUCUCCUGAUAGUUGCGCCUUGCGGCAUGCCAAAACAGGACAAGGGUUGCGCUCGUUGCGGGACUUAACCCAACAUCCCACGACACGAGCUGACGACAGCCAUGCACCACCUGUGCACGAGCCCCGAAGGGCUGCCGUGUUUCCACGACAUUCCCGUGCAUGUCAAGCCUUGGUAAGGUUCUGCGCGUUGCGUCGAAUUAAACCACAUGCUCCGCUGCUUGUGCGGGCCCCCGUCAAUUCCUUUGAGUUUUAGCCUUGCGGCCGUACUCCCCAGGCGGAGUGCUUAAUGCGUUAACUUCGUUGCCGCAGGGGUCAAUACCCGCGACGACUAGCACUCAUCGUUUACGGCGUGGACUAC